UAGUGGCGAACGGGUGAGUAACACGUGGGUAAUCUGCCCUGCACUCUGGGAUAAGCCUUGGAAACGAGGUCUAAUACCGGAUAUCACAACGCUUCGCAUGGAGUGUUGUUGAAAGUUCUGGCGGUGCAGGAUGAACCCGCGGCCUAUCAGCUUGUUGGUGGGGUAGUGGCCUACCAAGGCGACGACGGGUAGCCGGCCUGAGAGGGUGACCGGCCACACUGGGACUGAGACACGGCCCAGACUCCUACGGGAGGCAGCAGUGGGGAAUAUUGCACAAUGGGCGAAAGCCUGAUGCAGCGACGCCGCGUGAGGGAUGACGGCCUUCGGGUUGUAAACCUCUUUCGCCAGGGACGAAGCGCAAGUGACGGUACCUGGAUAAGAAGCACCGGCUAACUACGUGCCAGCAGCCGCGGUAAUACGUAGGGUGCAAGCGUUGUCCGGAUUUAUUGGGCGUAAAGAGCUCGUAGGCGGUUUGUCGCGUCGGCUGUGAA
rnacentral:rRNA from 1 species